rnacentral:rRNA from 1 species
UAGGGAAUCUUCCGCAAUGGACGCAAGUCUGACGGAGCAACGCCGCGUGAGUGAAGAAGGAUUUCGGUUCGUAAAACUCUGUUGUUAGAGAAGAACAGCGCAUAGAGUAACUGUUAUGCGUGUGACGGUAUCUAACCAGAAAGCCACGGCUAACUACGUGCCAGCAGCCGCGGUAAUACGUAGGUGUCAAGCGUUGUCCGGAUUUAUUGGGCGUAAAGCGAGCGCAGGCGGUCAAUUAAGUCUGAUGUGAAAGCCCCCGGCUCAACCGGGGAGGGUCAUUGGAAACUGGUUGACUUGAGUGCAGAAGAGGAGAGUGGAAUUCCAUGUGUAGCGGUGAAAUGCGUAGAUAUAUGGAGGAACACCAGUGGCGAAGGCGACUCUCUGGUCUGUAACUGACGCUGAGGUUCGAAAGCGUGGGUAGCAAACAGG